UCCAAUAUGGCGGCGCCCAGUGGCGGUGUGAACUGUGAGGAGUUCGCCGAGUUCCAGGAAUUACUCAAGGUGAUGAGGACAAUUGAUGACAGAAUAGUACAUGAAUUAAACACUACGGUUCCAACAGCUUCCUUUGUAGGGAAAAUUGAUGCCAGCCAAACCUGUAAACAACUUUAUGAGUCUUUGAUGGCAGCUCAUGCCAGUAGAGACAGAGUCAUAAAAAAUUGUAUAGCCCAGACGUCAGAAGUAGUAAAAAACCUCCGAGAGGAAAGAGAAAAGAAUUUGGACGACUUAACGUUAUUAAAGCAACUUAGAAAAGAGCAGACAAAGUUUGCUGUGAAGAUUUUGGAAUCAGAGAGAGCUCUUGGAGAUGUUACAGCUCUACCUCUUCAUUUUCUAUCUGAGGAAAAAGACUCAGAGAUACUAACUGACAUCCCCAAAGCCACAAGCUAUUGAAAUGGAUGCAGUCAGAACUGAAUGUUGAAGAAGUGGUAAAUGACAGGAGCUGGAAGGUGUUUAAUGAACGCUGCCGAAUUCACUUCAAGCCUCCAAAGAAUGAAUAAAGAGAGAUACUUUUUUUUUUUUUUUUUUAAAGGACUGGGUCAUCUCAUAAGAGCUAAGCAUAACAGGUAUCAACAGGGCGGGCUUCCUAGGAUGAUUUCUGAGCCAACAGUCCAAGACCUUUUGUUGAUUUCAGCCCCACUUAGCCAAGACCUCAAAUAUAAAUAAUUCUGAUAAUUAUGGAGAAAUCAACUGCUAUUUUAUACUGAUUCUGUAAAAAAAAAAAGUUUUGUAACUAUUAAAAUAAUUUUCUGACUCAGUGUA